AAAAAUUCAUAGUUUCGUCACUGCCCGUACACAACCUUCUAGCUCCACCUCUGCAUCUCAGGUUAUAUUUAUCAGGCAACAGUAGUUUAAUUACGCCUAGAAGAUCCUAUUGAUGAAAGCAGUAUCUUGGUUUCCCUACUAGUAUCACCCACAACAUAUUCAUAAGUUCAGCAUCGGAAUCUUUCCCACCUACCAUCAGUGCAGUUGGCUG
rnacentral:lncRNA from 1 species